rnacentral:rRNA from 1 species
UACGAAGGGGGCUAGCGUUGUUCGGAAUUACUGGGCGUAAAGCGUGCGCAGGCGGCUAUCCAAGUCAGUGGUGAAAGCCCGGAGUUCAACUCCGGAAUUGCCAUUGAAACUGUUUAGCUUGAGGACGAGAGAGGUGAGUGGAAUUCCCAGUGUAGAGGUGAAAUUCGUAGAUAUUGGGAAGAACACCGGUGGCGAAGGCGGCUCACUGGCUCGUUUCUGACGCUCAGGCACGACAGCGUGGGGAGCAAACAGG